UACAAUAUUCCCUUCCAAAGAUGUUUUUUUGAAAACAGCAGCUACUGUUUAUGAAGCCAUUCCGGAUUUGACAGGAUGCUGUCAAGUGUUCAAUACCUCCCGCCCUCCCUCCCCCUCUCUCUUCUCUUCUGAACCACUCCCUCCACCCCCAGCUCCUACAGACCCCUGUGUCUGAGGCUUCCAUUGCUUCAAGAACAGAGUCAGAGAAAAAAAGACUUCCAACGCACGGCUUUUAAGAUGCAAUCCUGGCGAAUGUCAGAGAGAUGUGGGAGAAUUCAUGCUGUACCAG
rnacentral:lncRNA from 1 species